GGAGUCCAUUCAAGGCACAGAACUGCGGGACUGUUGUGCAUAUCAGCAAUUGUAACCUUAGCAUAGCGG